rnacentral:rRNA from 1 species
UAAAAACCCCGACUUCGGAAGGGGUGUAUUUAUUAGAUACAAAACCAAUGCCCUUCGGGGCUCUUUGGUGAUUCAUGAUAACUAUACGAAUCGCACGGCCUUGCGCCGGCGAUGGUUCAUUCAAAUUUCUUCCCUAUCAACUUUCGAUGUUUGGGUAUUGGCCAAACAUGGUUGCAACGGGUAACGGAGGGUUAGGGCUCGACCCCGGAGAAGGAGCCUGAGAAACGGCUACUACAUCCAAGGAAGGCAGCAGGCGCGCAAAUUACCCAAUCCCGACUCGGGGAGGUAGUGACAAUAAAUACUGAUACAGGGCCCUUUCGGGCCUUGUAAUUGGAAUGAGUACAAUUUAAAUCCCUUAACGAGGAACAAUUGGAGGGCAAGUCUGGUGCCAGCAGCCGCGGUAAUUCCAGCUCCAAUAGCGUAUAUUAAAGUUGUUGUGGUUAAAAAGCUCGUAGUUGAACCUUGGGCCUGGCUGGCCGGUCCGCCUCACCGCGUGCACUGGUCCGGCCGGGCCUUUUCCUCUGUGGAACCCCAUACCCUUCACUGGGCGUGGCGGGGAAACAGGACAUUUACUUU